GGGUCCCCAAAAGCUCUUGCCAGUCGACUUGCGAAUCGUGCUUCCGGUGAGACUCCUUCGACGUGAGCUGCGGUGCAUCACCCCGGCGUAGAGGGUACACAUUACGUGUUCGAACAAGCCGCUGCCGCAUGCGCCCGCCCGGCGAGCUCCGCCGCCAGCCGUCACCUCGCUGCCCUACGUCUCCCAGCCUCCGCGCCAGCCCGUCCCCGACCUCCCUUGCGCCCGCUGCCAUGUCGAGCAGAUACCGCAGCCCAAAUCUUGAGCCAGGGAAACCCUAAUCGCCCCAGAACUAUAAGGCGCCGCCAGCACCGCAUUUCCCAAACCCUUGCGCCACAACCAGACGACGGGUAAGGGAGGAGAAGAACAACAGCGAAGAUGGUGUCGCUAAAGCUGCAGAAGCGCCAGGCCUCGAGCGUCCUCAAGUGCGGCAAGGAUAAGAUCUGGGAGUUUGAACAAUUCACCAAGAUUCCAGUUUGUGUAUAACAGAAUGGGUGGAAUUUAUCAUGAGAUCCUACCCAAAUCUGAGUACUUCUCCAAGGCACUGUACACCUUCCAUUUUGCCCAAAACGAUCUCACCUUGGGCUACUUCACCAAUAAGACUACCAAACAGAUUGAGGCCUAUGACCCCGAUCCGAAGGAGCGGUUCACUGUGGCAAUGCAGGCGGCCGUGAACUCGCAGCCACAAGGUUUCCUUUUUGUUUAGUUUUGCUUUUCAACUACAAUUGAUGAAGGAGCAUUGGCAACCUCAGGAAGUUGGUGCCAAGGUGGAGUCCCUGCAGAGGCUGUUCACCCGGAAGGUCGUCUUCUCCAAGACCUCCCUAGCCUUUGAACAGGACCGCUCCAUCAAGACUCCCAUGCAUGGAGCAAUGUCGUCUUCGUCAGGCUGCAGUUAUAUGCCUAGGGGUGGUCAAACUUAAAAGUUCAGGGAAGAUUCAGACUACAUGUGGUAGUGCUGAACAUUGUUUUGUCGUUCAUCAAAUGUGUUAGUGCUUAUAAGGUUAUAGCCUCAGGUUAAACUGAAAAUCUAUCUGCAAUUUGGCUUUACAUUUUCUAAGUACGAAUGAUGCCUACAAUUGUUGAAGAUUAAUUAGUUAUUAUGGAUUUAUGGUACCAUGUAGUGGUGCGUUGAUUAUCUGGCGCUGAGUAAUUAACUGAACGUUAUUUUGGUGUUCAUCGAUUGUGGCAUUGCGUAUGCUCUAUUACAGCUUCAGUUUAAACUGAAAACUAUCUAAAAUUUGGAUUUAGAAUGUCUAACUGUGAAUGGUGGCUAGCUUCGGUUGCACCUGAAAUACCAAAGAUCACACUAAAAUCUUUUUUUACAAAACCUCUCGUAGCUUAGUUGAAUUUAUUUAUUUUUUGGUUUAGUAGAAGGAAAUUUAGCCUUGCCUCGAAAUUCGGAAAAGAUGGAGUAUAAUUUUUGUUGACUAAAAAAAUGAAGUGACUUUUAACAGCUGGGGGUGUGUUCUGUUUUUCAACCGUGUUAAUGUAUACUUUUUGAAUGUAGAAUGGAACUAUAUCUGUUUGUUCAACCAGAGAGAGGAGCUGUUUUUCAACCGCAUUAGUCUAUACUUUCAGAAGGAAAAAUGGAACUAUAUCUAUUUUUUAAGCUUUUCCAAUAUUGGAAGAUGAAAAAUGUACACUUUUGGCUGUGCAGUGAUUUUUCCAGGCUAUCCUUCCAAUGUAUUGAACCUGAUCAUCUCUGAUUAGUGUUGUUCCUAAUUCUUGAAGGGUACACCAUUGAGUGGCAAUACCACAUGUGUAUCCAUUGCAACUUGGAGGUACGAUCUAGUGAUUAGCAGCAUGAAGUGCUGAGCACGUCGUGUGUUGUGUGUUGUUGGUAGAGUAUGCGUUUUUGGGCCUGAAUUGCGAAACUAACUUAGAUUUCCUGGUUGUUGUUUUUAGUAUAGUAUACCUUUUCCUGAAUUAGGAACCUUACUGAUUUUUUUGGUUGUGUGUUAUCAGUGUAGUAUACAAUUUUUGGGCCUGAUUUGUUACCCUUAUCCGGGAUUUUCUGCAAUCAGUGAUGCACUCGUGGUCAUGAGUAUUUGUUAGUCUACUUUACUUAUCUCUACCUAAUAAUAAAGCACGUAGGGUUUCUGCCCGUCCGUAAAAGCCCUUGCGUUUUCAUGAAAUCAACCCGCAGCCGGAUUUAAGUCACACCGAACCGUUAUUUUACAGUUUUUCGAAACCCCCCUGACUUUUUAGGUAUUCCAUCCGCGGAACAUAUUUAAGUCAAACAAAUGCUUUUCUAAACCAUCCAUAUCUUUUAAACCGUAACUCCGAUUUAAACAUGUUAUAUAUAAAAUUUAAUUAGAAAAAUAUGUAGAAUACGAAUAUAAGAUUAUUUUAACCUGUUAAGUAUUUAUAAAUAUUAUUUUAGAAGAUAAUUAAGUCAAACAAAUGGUUUUCUAAAUUAUACGUAUCUUUUAAACCGUAACUCCGAUUUCAACAUGUUAUAUAUGAAAUUUGAUUAGAAAAAUGUGUGAAAUCUGAAUAUGAUGUUAAUUUUACCUGUUAAAUAUUUUUUAGAUAUUGUUUUGGAAGCAAACUUAUAACUAUAGCGCAUGAUCCAUUUUUUUUUUGUACAGAUUUCUCAUUGCGAGUGUGAGAGAAAGCGAGAGAGAGAGAGGGAGAGGGAGGAGAGAGGGAGAGAGAGACGUCUUAGGAUUAACCACAUACAAACAUGUUUUGGUUUGUGUGAACACUUAAGGCCAUCGCCGGCGAGGGUGAGAAGAAGGAUAAGCGGCAACACAAAUAUGAUGCGUCGCUAAAAUAAAGGAGAUGGACCUAUUGUGGUCUUGAGUGAUGGUUGUUCAGUUAAGAGUGUGUGUUGUGUUUUUUCUCCCGUUGCAACGCACGAGCUCUUUUGCUAGUAGAUUUAAUUGUUUUUAGUCACCCGUAUGUUAGUUAACUGAAAUUUGUUGGCAGUGGUUCAUUAUGUUCUUUAACUGCUGUACUGAAGCAGCGGAUCAAAGCAUUUAAAAACAAUUAGCUCUUGAGUAAUUAAGUAAGACUUGAUGGUUGUGUUAUAUAUAUUAUAGUAUAUACAUUUUUUGGCCUGAAUUGCAAAUCUGAUUGAAAUUUCCUGGUUUUGUGUUAUCAUUAUUAUGGUAUACUAUUAUGCCGGCAAGCUUUUUGUUGGUGCUUUAUUUCCUGUCCUUGCUAAACUUUUGAUACUCUCUGCAAUGAUGAAAUGUUUCUGCAUGUUAGAUAAGUACCAGGGCAACCAUAAAUGAUGUACCUUCCUUUAGUUGAGCUGUCUUACUGUUUUCUCGUCUAGCUUUUUGUUAAUAUACACACUGGAAUUCUCGAUUCUGGAACCCAUGAACUCUUUGUCUCUUCCCUGUGACCUAUUUCUCAUCUACUCCUGCUUGUAAGAAAAGUCUAUUAUGUGCUAUAUAGGCAAAAUAUACAUAAUUGGUUCUCUUCUAUAUGCUUUCCUUAUUCCUUAAUGAAUACACUUGGUUCACAAAAGCAUUGGGAUAAUUAGCUGAACAAGUUUUGCCUAUUUUUGUUUCUUUCAUCUCCUCUGAUUAUUUCCUGGCACUUGUGAAAUUGUUCGGAUUACUUAGCUUCGUUCAAUUGCCAUGUUGCUCAGCUGAGUUCAUACUGUACCUCAGGACAUGAACUGCAAGUGGUGCUAGGGUUUGAUUGCUGGAUGGAACAACACCAAGAACGUGCGUUAUUACUCCAGCCACAUGGAAGCAAGCAGGCAUGGCGCCGCCCACGUGGCCUGAUUAGUGAUCAACCACACGUAUGAUAUACCCGUAUAUACUUGUCGAUCAUACAUACAUGUGUACCCACAUAUUCUUGAUUAGUUGGUUAAUAUAUAAAUAGAUUCUUAAUUGGUCUAUUAGUUCGUGUGAUGUUACGAAUGAAAAGAAAAUUACUGGGGAGUUAUUGCAUGGAAUAAUUUUGUGGUAAUGGUCUUGCAAUUGAAACAAACAUUUUCUUGCGACAUGUA